rnacentral:pre_miRNA from 1 species
AUAAGGUAGAGAAAAUAAUGUCUUCGUCUCCAAAUAGACAUCAAUUUCCCUAGCUUGCAU